GAUGAACGCUGGCGGCGUGCCUAAUACAUGCAAGUCGAGCGAACAGACGAGGAGCUUGCUCCUCUGACGUUAGCGGCGGACGGGUGAGUAACACGUGUAUAACCUACCUAUAAGACUGGGAUAACUUCGGGAAACCGGAGCUAAUACCGGAUAAUAUAUUGAACCGCAUGGUUCAAUAGUGAAAGACGGUUUUGCUGUCACUUAUAGAUGGAUCCGCGCCGCAUUAGCUAGUUGGUAAGGUAACGGCUUACCAAGGCAACGAUGCGUAGCCGACCUGAGAGGGUGAUCGGCCACACUGGAACUGAGCCACGGUCCAGACUCCUACGGGAGGCAGCAGUAGGGAAUCUUCCGCAAUGGGCGAAAGCUUGACGGAGCAACGCCGCGUGAGUGAUGAAGGUCUUCGGAUCGUAAAACUCUGUUAUUAGGGAAGAACAAAUGUGUAAGUAACUAUGCACGUCUUGACGGUACCUAAUCAGAAAGCCACGGCUAACUACGUG
rnacentral:rRNA from 1 species